rnacentral:rRNA from 1 species
UACAGAGGGGGCCAGCGUUAUUCGGAAUUAUUGGGCGUAAAGGGCGCGUAGGCGGCUUUGCGUGUCUUUCGUGAAAUCCCUCGGCUCAACUGAGGACGUGCGGAAGAAACUGCAGGGCUGGAGUCCGGGAGAGGAGGGUGGAAUUCCCAGUGUAGCGGUGAAAUGCGUAGAUAUCCGAAGGAACACCGGUGGCGAAGGCGGCUUCCUGGACCGACACUGACGCUGAGGCGCGAAAGCUAGGGGAGCAAACGGG